rnacentral:rRNA from 1 species
UAUGUGAUCGUCUCUCGCAUAUCAAUAAGCGGAGGAAAAGAAACUAACAAGGAUUCCCCUAGUAACGGCGAGUGAAGCGGGAAGAGCUCAAAUUUGAAAUCUUAAAGGGUUUCCCUUUACGAAUUGUAGUUUAAGGAAGUGUUUUCUGUUGAGGUUUUGGUAAAAGUUCUUUGGAAUAGGACAUCAUAGAGGGUGAGAAUCCCGUAUUUGACCUUUACUUUCAACUUUGUGAUACACUUUCAAAGAGUCGGAUUGUUUGGGAAUGCAGUCCAAAAUGGGUGGUAAAUUUCAUCUAAAGCUAAAUAUUGGCGAGAGACCGAUAGCGAACAAGUACCGUGAGGGAAAGAUGAAAAGAACUUUGAAAAGAGAGUUAAACAGUACGUGAAAUUGUCAAAAGGGAAGCGUUUGACACCAGUGUUGUUUUUCUGAAAAUCAAUUAAAGAACUGUUUAUGCUAAGCUGUUUAGACUUUAUCAGCUAUCUGUUUAGUUUUAGGCUUUUCUUUAAUGCACUUUUCAGUUAACAAGUCAACAUCAAUUUCUUUUGCUGUAAAAAAGCUUGAGGAAGGUGGCUUGAGAUUCGUCUUAAGUGUUUAUAGCCUCUUGCCUAUGCAGUCGGAGAGAUUGAGGUCUGCAGCGUAGAUCCUUCGGGGCUAAAUGCAUUUGUGCUAAGUUAUAGCAUUUUAUAGACAACUUGUUGACUAUGAUUUGUCUUGUAGCUUACUCGCUUAUGUUAUUUUACCUACGCUUAGGAUGUUGAUCUACAGAGCGAGAGU